GACGAACGCUGGCGGCGUGCUUAACACAUGCAAGUCGAACGGAAAGGCCCUGCUUUUGUGGGGUGCUCGAGUGGCGAACGGGUGAGUAACACGUGAGUAACCUGCCCUUGACUUUGGGAUAACUUCAGGAAACUGGGGCUAAUACCGGAUAGGAGCUCCUGCUGCAUGGUGGGGGUUGGAAAGUUUCGGCGGUUGGGGAUGGACGCGCGGCUUAUCAGCUUGUUGGUGGGGUAGUGGCUUACCAAGGCUUUGACGGGUAGCCGGCCUGAGAGGGUGACCGGCCACAUUGGGACUGAGAUACGGCCCAGACUCAUACGGGAGGCAGCAGUGGGGAAUAUUGCACAAUGGGCGGAAGCCUGAUGCAGCAACGCCGCGUGCGGGAUGACGGCCUUCGGGUUGUAAACCGCUUUCGCCUGUGACGAAGCGUGAGUGACGGUAAUGGGGAAAGAAGCACCGGCUAACUACGU
rnacentral:rRNA from 1 species